UGGCCACAGCUGGGAAGGCGAUGUACUA
rnacentral:piRNA from 1 species